rnacentral:misc_RNA from 1 species
GAUGAAGAACGCAGCGAAAUGCGAUAAUUAAUGUGAAUUGCAGAAUUCCGUGAAUCAUCGAGUUUUUGAACGCAUAUUGCGCCCCUUGGUAUUCCGAGGGGCAUGCCUGUCCGAGCGUCAUUGCAACCCUUCAAGCACGGCUUGUGUGUUGGACGGCCGCCCCAGUGUGGGCGGGUCCCAAAUGCAGUGGCGGCGCCGCGAUCCGGGUGCUCGAGUGCAUGGAAACCACGCGCUCGUUAGGCCCCGUCGGGCGCCGGACGACCUAAUUAUCUUCGUUCUGGUUGAACUCGGAUCAGGUAGGAAUACCCGCUGAACUUAAGCAUAUCAAUAAGCGGAGGA